AAAAAACAAAAGAAAAUAUCAGAGUGCACUACAUAAAAGUUCAAUGUUAUUUCAUGAAACUUUUAUUUCCAUUGUGUUUAUAAUCAGUAACAAUGUAAAUGUUUUUAUAAUUGUGAGCUUCCAGCAAGUUAAAAGCCACUACUACAGCUAAUUACAAGAAAACUCCUUAAAAGACAUUUAGGCAACUGGUUUAUCAUUUCAGCCCUUAGCACAAAGCAAUGUAUUUCACAAAGAAGGCAGAACUUGAAAUGUCCUUCAAGCACAAACUGGCAAAAAGAGAGGAUUAGAAGAGGAGAGAGGCAUUAAGAGGUGUAUUAAAUGGAGGUGUAUUACAAAGAUUCUAUAAAACCAACUUGUCUAUGACUUACUUAAAGCUCACUUAAAAAGAAUCACAUUUCUCAGUAAGACAUGGUUUCUCUCAGUAUUAAAAGAUAGGAAGCUGGGAUCCUAACCUCUUAACUACCAAAAUGACAAAAAACUGAUCCCUCCUUCUCUGUAGACUCAACCCUAACUCUUACUUUAAUUAUCUUAUUCUGGAGCUUAUGCAAGACUAUUUUUAGAUAUAUCCUUCCUACUUUUCCCUAGACAGUAACACAGUAGCCAAGAACCAUCUAAAUUCUAAAGAUUUAUAUUUUUAUAUUCAGAUAACAAAGAUUAACCAAGCCCCUGCUAUACCACUUCUGUAUUAAGAAAUUAAGCUGUAUCUAACAAUUUUAACUCCUAGUUAUAUUCUUUAAAGCUUGAUAUCCUUAACUAAAACUGUCCUAAUUUCCUCCUCUUGAAAAUAUUUUGCUUCUUGGACUUGUGGAUGAAAAGGGGGCUCCAAAAUAACCUAACCAAAAGUAACCUCACAGGGUGAUCUGAUCAUAAAUUCCUAACUGGGCAGAUCUUGGUGGGUAGUCACACCUCAAGCCUCUAACUUCCCUAGUUAUAACUUCAAGCCCUGUCCAUUAUUUUUGUGUAUAAGUUAAUACACCUUUGAAAUGCCUCUUUUUCAGACCUGUGGGAAGCUAACCAUCCUCCAGAGAGCACAUAAUCUUGUUAAUUAUCCUGUAAACCAAUCUCCACCUUGGCCUUCCUUUCUCCCACCUUCCUUACUUCCCUCUUAAUUCUAAAUGUGUAAAAGAAACCGCACAACUGUCAUUCUCCAGAGCAUGUGAGAUCUUGCUUCCUCCCAGUGUUGUCAGUUUGACUCAAAUAAACUCAUAAAAAUUCUCUACAGGUUUGGACAUUUCUUAUAUCAACAGACUAUUAAACCAUCCCACAUACUAAGACCAAACUCUGCUAUCUUCUUUGUUCCACCAAUAAUAUCCCUGCUCUGCUAUGUUCACAUAACUAUUCUUUUCCAUAAAAAUUUCCUCCUCACAAGCUGCUGGACUAAUCACACCACAGUAUCUGGUGUAAUGAUUGUUUGAAUCUGUCACUUAAUAGGAGUGUGAUUUUAAGCACUUAAAAUUCCUUAACUUCUCUGAGAUUCAAUCUCAUUUCUAAAAUGGGUAAAACAAUGGGUACCAAAGACUUGCAUAAUCUCUUCCAUUGCUCUUUUUACUUAAAACUUUUUCAUUUUAUUUUUAGUUAUUUUUAAUUUCCUUUAAACGCAAUAAAAUGCUUUUAUGGAGAGAGGCACUUACAUUGAGGUAGCAAGAAAUAUGGGAAAGGAAAAAGUGUGAAGAAAAACAAAAUAAGUACAAGUAAACUUAUCGAGUGGUAUUACUGCUCUGCCUAUGUGCUCUCCUUGUAUGUCCAAAUUCUAAAAAGGCAAAUGUAAUACUUUUCCCCAUGGCAGACAAAAUUCUUAGAACCCUCAAUGACUCCCAUCCCUGUAUUAUUCCCUCCCCUUGAGUGUGGGUGAGUUCUGUAGAUAUAAUGGGAUAUGUAACUCUUGGAACUGUUAAAUAGCAAACAGAUUUUUGCAUAUGUAUUUAAAGUCCUUAAUCAGUUGAGUUUACCAAAAAGGGAGAUUAUCUUGGGCUGUCUGACCUAAUCAAAUGAGCUUUUAAAAGGGGUUUUAAAGGGGAGUCUAGAGGUCAGAGAUAGAGGAAGUCAGAGACUGGUCCAGCUAGCCUGGAUGAAAGCAAACAGCCAUGUUGUGAACUGCCAAUGUGGACACAUGGUAAGGAAGUGAGAACGGUCCCUGGCCAACGGCUAGCAAGAAAACUUCAGUCAUACGGCCACAAGGAAAUUAAUUCUGCCAACAAGUGGUGAGCGUGGAAGACCUUGAGCCUCAGAUGAGAACUGCAGCUACUGCUCGCAUCUUGAUUUCAAACUGGUUGAGAUGCUAAACUGAAAACCUGGCUACAAAGUAUCCAGAUUUCUGACCUAUAGAAACUGAGAAUGGGUGUUGUUUAAGCUGCUAAAUCUGAAAAGAAAAAAAAGGGGGGGAAGAGACUUUUUGUUUGUUUGAAACAAAUUUAUUCUCAGAAUAAUCCACAAAAGCACAAAUUGAGACUACCAUCUUUUCCCCCAGAGUGCAUGUCUCCUCAAAGCACUGAUUAUAAAGAUACACAAAUCCAAAAUCACGGGACAAGGAUUAAAACUCUAUGAAAAUGCAUAAAAAUUUUCAAUUUUAGAAAUUAAAAGGGGAUUUUUUCACAUAUCUGUUAAAUAUCAUAUCGUUUAUUAUCUUCAUUUUAGUGAUAAGCAAAGUUAAGGCUCAAGAAUGACAUCCCAAAGAUCACAAACCUAAGAAAUUUUGUAACUUCAGUGCCCGCCUCUACACCAACACCAACAGUCUCCUUGAAGCAUUAAGAACCAUUCAAAUCAACAGUAAUUGUAUUACUGUUUUCAAAGAAAGUAAUCCUAGUAAUAUAAUUUUCCAAAUUUCACAUCUAUUUAAACAUUCCUUAGCUUUGUCAGAACAUCAAAACUAAAAAGGAUAGAGAAAUUUUCAUCCAACAGUUGUAAAAAUGACCAUUGGUAGACCACUUGAGUAAAUUCAAAGUACAUUUCAAGAAUGAAAAGUAAAAAAAAUUAGCAAAACAUCUGUAGGUUUUCUAGAACUUAAUGAAUUUAGCAAACUAUUUGUGUUGUAAGUAUUCUCAAAAAUCAAAAGCUUAAAGUAAGCAAUGUUAUGGACCUUUCAAUAUUACACCCCUUGGACAAAUUUUUUGAGUCUUAACUCUUCAUAUGUUAUAAACAUGAGAACGUGGUACAAUAUAUCAUUCAAUAAACACGUCGUUUUUAUUUUCACUUAUGUAUAUUUCCCUAAGUGCUUCACCACAGAAUUUGCAAUUUUCUUAAUAACACACACAGAAAACUAACGGGUGGAGUUAUAUUCAAAUUCCACGUUACAAAUCAGAUAACUUUACGCCAAUUCAAAUACUUUAACACUGACUUUUUCUUUGCUAAGGUGCAAAAUAUAGCCCUUUGUAGUCACAACCACGAGAAAUAAUAAACUGUAUCAUCUUAGCACCAACGUUAACAGCAAAUAAUUCACUAUAAACACACGCAAACAGCAUCACAUACAAACAGCAUUGUUUUGAGUCCAUAAGCUUCCAAACGCAUCCAUGACUUACACGCCUGGGGCACGAUUCUCUGCAAUGUGAAGAGAAUCGAUAACAUUUCAAAUGUGGGUAGAAGGGGUGACGUGACAAUCUUAAAACCUGAAAAUUUCUCAGUCCCCACAAUACACAAGAAGCACCCAGUUUGGACCCUCCAAUCGAGGCUCAGGUCCAACUCUAGGCACUCCAGUUUCCCAGCUUUUCACCCCGCCCCCACCCCGAGAAAGGAGGGAAAACAACUUUUAUUGGUCUCAUUUCCCGGGGGACUGGCAAACUAGCGGGGCAGGGCUCGGGCCUGGACACGUUUCACAAGGAGGCCUCCGUCGGGGGCGGAGAGCGCAGAUAGCGGGAAGCCAAGCCUAGGACUGUGCUCGAUGGUCUGAAAUGGACGUUCCCAGCUGCCAAACGGAAAAUAAUCGACUAACGUGAGAUCAUGACCAAAAUAUGCCAUUGAACGUCGCCUCUUCCCUACUUUCCACCGCUGCGCUGUGGCUGUGGCGGUGGCGCCUACCUUUAACCGCUUACAACUUUCAAGUACAAAAGUUAACUAUCAAAAUCCAAGCUAAGGAGAGUGCCAGGAUUACAUUUUCUUCUGUAUGAGACCUCUAUUAAAACCAGUAGGAAGCCUCUCAAAGGAAAAUGUGAAGAGCAUCAGGAUCAAAUGGAUUCUCUUCCUUAUCAAUUAGCCUGCUAUUUGUGCUUCAUAUUUGGCCCGUAAACUACUUGUAUGGCUUUGUUUUUCCUGGAAUUUCAAAUUGCUUUUUGCCACAAGCUUUUUGUAUGGUUUAAUUUUUCCUGGAGUUUCAAAUUGCUUUAUUUUUCCCUGCAUAUUUUACCUAGUUUAUCAUAUCAAGUUUUUCCAUUUUUUUUCUAUUGUUUUAUAGAAAUGCUCUCUUUCUUUUGCCCUUGGGUGAUUGCCCCUAAUGAACCUUUGGCCUUCUGCUUCCACUUAGCCUAAUUGUUCUUUAACUCUGCUGCACCACUGAGAACUUCCCUUUACUCUGCUCCAAGGUUGGAGCCACUCUUCUAGAAUUCAUGACUAUGUUCUUGUUUUAUCUUUUUUUUUUUUUUCCUGGAGAACACUCUUGAUAACUAACUUAUGAAAGAACUGGAGGUAAACUUUCAGUUUUUUAAUAUUUGCAAAUGUCUUCAUUCUGCUUUGUCAGUAGAGCUGAAUUUACUUUCUCUCAGAACUCUCAAAGGCAUUGUCUAAAGUAUUCUAGUAUUCUGUGGUAUUGAUAAAUUGGAUGGAAGUGUGGUCUUAUUCUUUACAGAUAACUAGUUUCUUAAUUCUCCCACCACCAAAGGCUUACUUGUGUUUAAUUUACUUUAUUAGCUAUAUAGACCAUCUUUGGGUUAAAAUAUUUCAUGAAACAUUCAAGUCACUUCCUAUCAUCUUUUACUACUUAUUUUUUAUAAUUAAGUUAUUUCUAAAAUAAAAAAAAAGACUUUUUAUAUAAAUAUUACAUGCAUGUGACCAAUUUAAAAAGUAAAAAGUUACUUUCCUAUCUUCUCCCCUAGCAUCUUAGUUCUCCCUCCCAGAGGCAGCCACUGUUAUUCAUUUCCAGAAGCUUUUAGACUGUCUCUUUAAUUUUAGUGUUAUGACAUUUAUAGAUAUAAAAAUUUAAUAAAAGUUAUCAGGAUCAGAAUUGUAGAUUUUUCUUUCUGAAUCAAGGUAAGAAAUCAAUGAAUAUAAAUAUCUUCUGUCAAUGACACCUAGGUAGACAUGCAUUGAGUACCUACUAGUAUAUGUGGCAGAUAUUUGGUGUUUUUGUUUGUUUGUUGAUAGUUUUGGUUGUUGUUGUUGUUAUAGUUUUAUUUAAAAUGUAUGAUUUGAUGAACUGCGACCUAUAUGUAAGCCCAUGAAA